CUGGCGGCGUGCUUAACACAUGCAAGUCGAACGAGAAGAGAUGAGAAGCUUGCUUCUUAUCAAUUCGAGUGGCAAACGGGUGAGUAACGCGUAAGCAACCUGCCCUUCAGAUGGGGGACAACAGCUGGAAACGGCUGCUAAUACCGAAUACGUUCUUUUUGUCGCAUGGCAGAGAGAAGAAAGGGAGGCUCUUCGGAGCUUUCGCUGAAGGAGGGGCUUGCGUCUGAUUAGCUAGUUGGAGGGGUAACGGCCCACCAAGGCGAUGAUCAGUAGCCGGUCUGAGAGGAUGAACGGCCACAUUGGGACUGAGACACGGCCCAGACUCCUACGGGAGGCAGCAGUGGGGAAUCUUCCGCAAUGGACGAAAGUCUGACGGAGCAACGCCGCGUGAACGAUGACGGCCUUCGGGUUGUAAAGUUCUGUUAUACGGGACGAAUGGCGUAGCGGUCAAUACCCGUUACGAGUGACGGUACCGUAAGAGAAAGCCACGGCUAACUACGUG
rnacentral:rRNA from 1 species